GGUCCGACACCGCCGAGUCGCUUGCGCGAGCCGGGGAUCCAGGUUCCCGGGGUGAAUCCGCGAUCACCGCGGUAGGGCGCUCCCUUCCCGCCCGAACCCGUCAGCUAACCCGGUAGGCGGUACGGGAAGAAGGA
rnacentral:sRNA from 2 species